UCCCUGGUAGUCUAGUGGUUAGGACUCCGCACUCCCAGUGCAGGGGGCUGGGCUCAAUCCCUGGUCAGGGAA
rnacentral:tRNA from 1 species